rnacentral:lncRNA from 1 species
CUAGUCGUAGUCACUAUAGUAUCUCCUCUUCAUCAGGUCACUUGGGUCUAUGGUCUUUACGACUCCUCACCAAAAUUCGUACUUAGACAUUAUGACUCAUAGUUUUCACUCGUAGCUACUGAAGCCUCAAACUUCAAUUCUUCAGAAUCUAGUCACCCUAUGAUUUUCUACUAUAAGCCGUAGUCAGACUUUAUGACUCGAAGCCUUUCAUUACAAAUUGGGAUAUGAGUUGUAAGGUGACUUGAUAACUCAUAGCCUAGCCAGUAUCUUACUUUUUGGGAGUACUUUCUUCCAUUUUUCAGUCCAUUCCACUUCCUACCUAAUUUCCCUGCAAAAUAUAUAAACACCCAUUAUAUCCAACGAAAGAACCUGAAUUAAUGCAUAAUUUCACCAUUUUAAGCAUCAAAUGUGCCAUGUUUCCAUGGAACAUCAACACCCUCAACUUAGAACAUUUGUAUGUCCUCAACCAAAACACAAAACCAAAACACAAAUGUUAAACAAACAUGAUUCUUAAACAGAAAGAUCCUCAGAUACCAUUGGCAAUCAAUUUUUCAUUUUAGUUCACACAUAUGACCCCCCCCCCCCUUUAUUUUUAACUUUUCAAGGACCCAACUAUGUAUAUCGAUUUGGUACGACACGGUGACAAAAAGGAAUUCAAUGAUAGCAUUACAUUAGCAACGUACAAAGAGGCGUAGAUACAAUUUAAACUAACCGCAUAGAUAAGUAAUCUAACAAUGCAAUUCCCUUACCCUCUCAAUCAAAGAAGUCCCUUUUACUCAGAUAGAUCAACAUUUUUAUCAAGGGAUGGUCAAGAGAUGCUCACACUCACAAAGAACUUUUACUCAGUGUACACAGAAUGCUAUAGAUUGCCCUUAUGUUCUAUACCUCAAUUUUUGGACAGUCAGGUUAGGAUCACUUAUAGGGCUUUAUUCGGCAUAUAACAUAGGUUUGGGGAUGGUAUGAUAUUUUUGAGAAAUUUUGAGCGACUAAGCCUCCCUAACACUACGAUUACUUUGGACCCCACUUAUUUCCAACUUUUCUUUCACUCCUCCCUUAUUUUUCCUAUUUUAAUCUUUUUCUACUUGUUCGGACUAGGUGUGGUUUCUUAUUUUUUUUCUUUCAAAAUUUUCUUUUCUUGAUCUUUUUCUAUUUUUCCAGUUUUCUCACUUUUAUUUUUCUACCACACCCAACCUUACUUUUUUCUAUUAACACACUUUCUUUAUACCUGCUAUAUACUAUGUACCCUUAGGAUAGCCACCCUCAACUUAGGUGAUUUGCCUGAGUUGAGGUGCACAGUAUCCCAAGAGGACCAAGGCCAAAAUAGGUUCGUUGUAGUUUAAACAGAAAGGUGAAUUGGUGUAAAAAAUAUAGGUAUAUUAAGGAUCAAAGAUUAGGAUCAAGGGACUCAUAUAUCAUUUGGUUUGGGAAAUAUAGGCUAAAGUGGACUAAUAACAAAAAUGGCCUAUGAUCAUCUCCUAACCGACCACCCUGGAACCUAGGCAAGAGCAACCAGGAAAGUUCUGGAUUCCAUAUACACCGGUAACUAAGUGAUGCCUCACACACACAUCGUAUAGGGUCACAUUGCUUGAUACAUAUUAUCCAUUUAUGCAAUUGUUUGCCAUAGUUGUUUCAUCCCUAAUUCUAAUUCCAUUAUCAAAUCCACAAUAGUCCUUAAAAUGCACAUAUCACAUAGUUAUCAAAAUUUUAAGAGGGGUAUCCUUCAAACAAAAGAAUUUCAGCACCAAAUAUUAGUCAAAACAUAUUCACUUCCUUGGCUACAAAUAUUUCCCUAGUUGAGCAUCACACAACAUAAAGACGCCACACAAAACAAAACUUUUAUUCAAACAUGCCAGUUUUGCGUUCAAACCACAUUCGACAGGAAAAGAAACAUGACAACAAUAACUCACGGUGGCUAUACGGUACACCCUCACCCUUAUCUCAAUACUUAUGCACUGUCCCUACUGCAUAUAACAGUGUAAAAAAAGGGGCUAAGACAUACCUGGGCACACUAGGCAUCGAAUAAAGCAUCAUUAGCAUGGGGGCCCUAAGACCGGGCCCCACUCUCAUCAAUAGUGGUCCCAACAACCGUUGGGACCUCCUCAGUAAUCAUUGCACUAGUGGUGGCUGGUACACUCAGUGAUGGAUUAGGGAGUAGGGUCAUACAGCCUCAUUCUAUUUUGAACUACUCGCCCCUAUAGCCAUCUGGCAGACCCUUACCUCCCAGCCCGUCUCACUCUGCUCACUCGUUAUUUUUGUCGCCUUAAUAUUUUUUUCUUCUGUGCUUCAUCUCUUUCUUUCUUGUUCUUCCUUCUCUUCCUUUCUUCUUUUUCAACUUCAGCAUUACCCUCGGGGAUCGAAUCAUCAACACCCAAGAUAUUUUUGACUUCUUUUUCUAUCUAGAUCUUCUUAAUGAUCGGGAUGGAGUAAACCAGCCACUCAUGUAAUUCAUUGAUUAAAUUCUGCAACUCUUCUAUCUCAGUCACCCUCAAGUUGUCAUGCAAUUUGUUGCUCAAAAUUGUCAAAUCUUAUCUAAAGCAUCCUGUUUGUUCUAGUAUCCUCUUAUCAACCCAGGGUUAAACUACCUUCUCCAUUAAUCGUAUCUUUAUAUCCACGAUGCUCAAUAUUUUUAUUAUAUUGGUUAUGAAAGACUACAGCACUAUUAUAUAGCCAGCCAGAACUGACCUGGAUGUGGAUGGUCUCGGUGCUGCAGUUGGAGGUAGAGUAGGGGUACUGGAGGUACCAGCUACAUCAAAAGGAUGGGGCUCAAAUGGCCUAGUCUCAUCAGGAAUGUCACCUAUAUGGGUGAAUCCAAUAGUAUCAGUACUCAAAUCUUUAUUCCAAAGUGCAUCAGCUAAUAAAGUUGCUCCUUGCUUAGCCUACUUGGACAUAGGGUUUGCAGCAUUACGAAUCAAUCGUAAGUCCGUGAUGUUCUUUGGAUCAAUGAAUUUAUCCACAUUCAUAAGUUCUAGCACACCAGCCUCCAAUCAUAUUUGCAUCAAUAAGCACAGGAAUUCUAAAACCACAUUAUUACAAACCGCCCUAUCACGAAUCUCUCAUGCAAUAAACUAGCCUACAUCAAAAUCAUACCCUACCAUGAUUUUGUCUAUCAAUGUUGUAUGGACUAGAUUGAUCAUGUUGUCCUCAGUUGUGGGGCACAGUCUAUUUCUAGCAAGUUGCUACCAUGCUUUUGCCAAAAAAUUCAAAGAGCCUUUAAUAAUUUGAUGUCUAUUCACUCCCGGACCACUAACUACCCAACUAGUAGCUUCUUUAUUCCCAGGGCUAAUACCAUCCAUCCAUUGGAAGUGUGUCAUCUUAUCAUUAGUUCCCACACAGUAAUUAAUUUUGGCAGUACUCACUGGUGGUUCAAAAUCUAGUCCAUGCAAUAUACUAGAAAUAGUCUUCGAGGAGAUGUUCACCCGCACUCCUCUAAUAGUCAGGGAAUUUAGUGGUUUACCACCCUUAUACAACUGUCCCUAUGGGUAUAACCACUUAAUAUCCCCUUGGUAUGUCACAUAGAACUCCCGCACUAAUGCGGAGCUAAAUUUUCUAGAAGUUGUAGUCAUCCACUGGAAGUAGUGCUAUUGGAAUUGGGCCUCAACUUAAGACAUUUCAAACAUGCCUCUAGUUGUCAAACUUCUCUCAAGAUAUAUCCCCCUAUUAGGAUUUUCAGUUGAUAGGUUUAUUACUAUCUCUACAUUAUAUGUGGCCUCCAUUCCAAGAUACCCCCACCUUUCAACAGUGGGCACCAGAGCAGACUCUAUAAAUAUUAGAGGCUGAGGUUGUAAUGAUGGUAGUUGAACAUCGAUGGCAGUAACUUUCUCCUCACUCUCGUUCUCAGCUUCUUCAUUAUAGGAGAUUAAUUCUUUCUCACCAGCAUCGUCACCAUUUUUUUUUUCAUCAUUAUUGUAACUACCUUCUUAGAGGAUGAAGGUGAAUGUGGUGGUGAAGUACUGGGAUUCUUCCUCCUUGGUUUGGUCCUAGGAGGUGUGUCUUUCUCCAUGGCAGUUUCUUUCUUCCCCCAAGAUAGCUUCUCCCUUAGUUUUAACUACCCCGACAUUGGGUAAUUUUUAACUGAGUUGUUUAAAUCAUCACUAGUAUCUUCAUCUCUGAGAUGUCGAGUAUUUUAUGGGCCUGCUAAAUUGUUGCAUCAUCUUUUGGUGCCAUUUUUCCUAUUGAGAGUAUAUUCAUUAGUAAAUUCUAAGGAAAAGAAAAUAAGAAAAUAUGGUAUUAGUGUGCCUUUAUUGGACUCAUUACAACUAAGGGUUAUGAGUCAUAACCAUUGGGUACGACUCAUUUAUACAAGUCAUAAGAUAGACAGAAGAUAAGUCAGUAUUUGUUAGUUAGGUUAUGAGUCUUUAUACCGAGUUGUAAUAUUAGUCUACAACUCGUUACCAAUACUUGUAAGAUGAUGAGAAAUAAAUCAUAUUAUGCAUAGGUUUUCCCAGUCAUUACAACUCCUAUCUACGAGUUGUAUUGAUUAAUUACGACUCGUUUAGGUGAUUUGUAAUGUUAAUAGAACCCCUACUCUUCUAAACAACCAUGUAACCCGUGGUUAUGAGUUACUUAUUGACUCGCUAGGUUUUUCUCUAAUUUGUAAUGAAGCUCAUAACCACUGUAGCAUGGAUGUUUAGACUAGUUAGUUUCGAUACUUAAUCCUUUCACAACAUACAUAUUCAAGCACAAAUCAACACUGCACACAUUUA